GAUGAACGCUAGCGGCAGGCUUAAUACAUGCAAGUCGAGGGGCAGCAUGAUUGUAGCAAUACAAUUGAUGGCGACCGGCAAACGGGUGCGGAACACGUACACAACCUCCCAAUAAGUGGGGAAUAGCCCAGAGAAAUUUGGAUUAAUACCCCGUAACAUAACGAUGUGGCAUCACAUUGUUAUUAUAGAUUUUUCGCUUAUUGAUGGGUGUGCGGCUGAUUAGAUAGUUGGCGGGGUAACGGCCCACCAAGUCUACGAUCAGUAGCUGAUGUGAGAGCAUGAUCAGCCACACUGGCACUGAGACACGGGCCCGAAUCCUACGGGAGGCAGCAGUAAGGAAUAUUGGACAAUGGACGCAAGUCUGAUCCAGCCAUGCCGCGUGAAGGAUUAAGGUCCUCUGGAUUGUAAACUUCUUUUAUAAGGGACGAAAAAAGGCUUUUCUAAGUCGUCUGACGGUACCUUAUGAAUAAGCACCGGCUAACUCCGUGCCAGCCGCCGCCGUAAGAC
rnacentral:rRNA from 1 species